CCUACGGGAGGCAGCAGUGAGGAAUAUUGGUCAAUGGGCGCGAGCCUGAACCAGCCAAGUAGCGUGAAUGAUGACUGCCCUCCGGUUUGUAAACUUCUUUUAUAAAGGAAUAAAGUGAGGCACGUGUGCCUUUUUGUAUGUACUUUAUGAAUAAAGAUCGGCUAACUCCGUGCCAGCAGCCCAGGUCAUACGGAGGAUCCGAGCGUUAUCCGGAUUUAUUGGGUGUAAAGGGAGCGUAGAUGGGUUGUUAAGUCAGUUGUGAAAGUUUGCGGCUCAACCGUAAAAUUGCAAUGGAUACUGGCAGUCUUGAGUACAGUAGAGGUAGGCGGAAUUCGUGGUGUAGCGGUGAAAUGCGUAGAGAUCACGAAGAACUCCGAUGGCGAAGGCAGCUUACUGAACUGCGACUGACAUUGAUGCGCGAAAGUGUGGGUAUCAAACAGGAUUAGAUACCCUUGUAGUC
rnacentral:rRNA from 1 species